rnacentral:rRNA from 1 species
GGCGGCGUGCUUAACACAUGCAAGUCGAACGGAAUCCAAGGAGCUUGCUCUGGAAGAUUUAGUGGCGAACGGGUGAGCAUCACGUGAGCAACCUACCCCGAAGACAGGGAUAACACCGGGAAACCGGUGCUAAUACCUGAUACCUCUCAUUGGCCGCAUGGUCGAUGAAAGAAAUGUUUUUUCGCUUCGGGAGGGGCUCGCGGUCCAUCAGCUUGUUGGCGGGGUAAUGGCCCACCAAGGCUACGACGGAUAGCUGGUCUGAGAGGACGAUCAGCCACACUGGAACUGAGACACGGUCCAGACUCCUACGGGAGGCAGCAGUGGGGAAUCUUGCGCAAUGGACGAAAGUCUGACGCAGCAACGCCGCGUGAGGGACGAAGGCUUUCUGAGUUGUAAACCUCUUUCGACAGGAACGAUUGUGACGGUACCUGUAGAAGAAGCACCGGCCAACUAUGUGUCUGUG